CCUACGGGAGGCAGCAGUGAGGAAUAUUGGUCAAUGGCCGGAAGGCUGAACCAGCCAAGCCGCGUGAGGGAGGAAGGCGCAGAGCGUCGCAGACCUCUUUUGCCGGGGGACAAAAGGCCGGACUCGUCCGGUCCUGAGGGUACCCGGAGAAAAAGCAUCGGCUAACUCCGUGCCAGCAGCCGCGGUAAUACGGAGGAUCCGAGCGUUAUCCGGAUUUAUUGGGUUUAAAGGGUGCGUAGGCGGCCUUUUAAGUCAGCGGUGAAAGUCUGUGGCUCAACCAUAGAAUUGCCGUUGAAACUGGGAGGCUUGAGUAUGUUUGAGGCAGGCGGAAUGCGUGGUGUAGCGGUGAAAUGCUUAGAUAUCACGCAGAACCCCGAUUGCGAAGGCAGCCUGCCAAGCCAUGACUGACGCUGAUGCACGAAAGCGUGGGGAUCAAACAGGAUUAGAUACCCUUGUAGUC
rnacentral:rRNA from 1 species